UACGUAGGGUGCGAGCGUUGUCCGGAAUUACUGGGCGUAAAGAGCUCGUAGGUGGUUUGUCGCGUUGUCCGUGAAAUUCCCUGGCUUAACUGGGGGCGUGCGGGCGAUACGGGCAGACUGGAGUACUGCAGGGGAGACUGGAAUUCCUGGUGUAGCGGUGGAAUGCGCAGAAUAUCAGGAGGAACACCGGUGGCGAAGGCGGUUCUCUGGGCGAUGUCCUGACGCUGGAGGAG
rnacentral:rRNA from 1 species